CAGGAUGAACGCUGGCGGCGUGCCUAACACAUGCAAGUCGAACGGGAUAAGAGAUGCUUGCAUUUCUUAUCAAGUGGCGGACGGGUGAGUAACGCGUGGAUAAUCUGCCCUACACAGGGGGAUAACAGCCGGAAACGGCUGCUAAUACCGCAUAGACUGUAUUCUCGCAUGAGAGAACAGGGAAAGAUUUAUCGGUGUAGGAUGAAUCCGCGUCCGAUUAGCUAGUUGGAGGGGUAACGGCCCACCAAGGCGACGAUCGGUAGCCGGCCUGAGAGGGCGACCGGCCACAUUGGGACUGAGACACGGCCCAGACUCCUGCGGGAGGCAGCAGUGGGGAAUAUUGCACAAUGGGGGGAACCCUGAUGCAGCGACGCCGCGUGAGUGAAGAAGUAUUUCGGUAUGUAAAGCUCUAUCAGCAGGGACGAAGAUGACGGUACCUGCAGAAGAAGCCCCGGCUAACUACGUGCCAGCAGCCGCGGUAAUACGUAGGGGGCAAGCGUUAUCCGGA
rnacentral:rRNA from 1 species